GGGCACAUGGUGUAGUUGGUUAUCACGCUCGCUUUGCACUGACAGUUGCGAGUGGUCCCCGGUUCAAUUCCGGGUGUGUCCA